rnacentral:rRNA from 1 species
ACGGAGGGUGCGAGCGUUAUUCGGAUUUAUUGGGCGUAAAGAGUGUGUAGGCGGUCGAUCAAGUCUGAUGUGAAAGCCCGGGGCUUAACCUCGGAAGGGCGUUGGAAACUGGUCGACUUGAGUUCGGGAGAGGAAAGCGGAAUUCCGGGUGUAGAGGUGAAAUUCGUAGAUAUCCGGAGGAACACCGGUGGCGAAGGCGGCUUUCUGGACCGAAACUGACGCUGAGACACGAAAGCGUGGGGAGCAAACAGGAUUAGAUACCCUGGUAGUCCACGCUGUAAACGAUGGGCGCUAGGUGUGGGGGGUUUUUAAUCCCUCCGUGCCGCAGCUAACGCAUUAAGCGCCCCGCCUGGGGAGUACGGCCGCAAGGUUA